AUUGAACGCUGGCGGCAUGCCUUACACAUGCAAGUCGAACGGCAGCACGGGAGCAAUCCUGGUGGCGAGUGGCGAACGGGUGAGUAAUAUAUCGGAACGUGCCCAGUCGUGGGGGAUAACGCAGCGAAAGCUGUGCUAAUACCGCAUACGAUCCAUGGAUGAAAGCGGGGGAUCGCAAGACCUCGCGCGAUUGGAGCGGCCGAUAUCAGAUUAGCUAGUUGGUGGGGUAAAAGCCCACCAAGGCGACGAUCUGUAGCUGGUCUGAGAGGACGACCAGCCAAACUGGAACUGAGACACGGUCCAGACUCCUACGGGAGGCAGCAGUGGGGAAUUUUGGACGAUGGGCGCAAGCCUGAUCCAGCAAUGCCGCGUGCAGGAUGAAGGCCUUCGGGUUGUAAACUGCUUUUGUACGGAACGAAACGGCGAGCUCUAAUAAAGUUUGCUAAUGACGGUACCGUAAGAAUAAGCACCGGCUAACUAUGUGCCAGCAGCCGCAGUAA
rnacentral:rRNA from 1 species